rnacentral:lncRNA from 1 species
UCGUUUCCUUUUCGUUAACAAUUGUGAGACACGAAACAGCUUGACCAUGAGAUCUCCCUCAUGGAGUCGAACUACCUGAAGGAUAAGACGUCACACAUAUCCAUUUUCAUGGCAUCGUCACAUGACCCAUUGAUCGGUUGUGAUUCAACUCUUAAUAGGAACACAGUAGAACUGGUGUUGGUAUAUCUGUCUUUAGAUAAGCUUGCAUAUAUCUUGUCACUGAAAAAGGAAUGUUCAGAAGUGAGAUUAGUGGCAUUAUUCUGACAUGGAUUUCAUAUGGUUACUUGUUUUGCAGUUGACUCAGAUUGAAGGUCAGUUAAUCAUCACUGGGCACUCCCUGGGAGGAUCCGUUGCUUCUCUCUUCACCUUACGCCUGCUAGAUGGCAAUUUAUUAAAACCCAAAUGCCGCCCCUUUUGUAUCACCUUUGGUUCACCCCUCAUAGGCGACUUUGGCCUCCAACACUCCAUAUGGAAUUCUUUCUUCCUGCAUGUAGUGUCUAACCAAGACCCAGUCCCCGGACUCUUCCUCCCAUCCGGCAGAUCUCCGCCCACAUCCUCCCAUUCACAAACUACCGGUUACAAGCCCUUUGGGACAUAUCUCUUGUGCUCUGAACUUGGUUGUGCUUGUUUUGACAACCCUGAUUUAAUUUUGGGAUUGCUUAAAGUCAUAUCAUCAGAGGUUGCCGGAGGAUUGCAGGAUGUUGACUAUGGGGAGAUUUUAAGAAACCUCAAGGAGAGGGCAAUCUGCAAGGGACUGCCGCAGGUGGGUGAACGGUUUGCAGAUCCAUUUUCAGCUGGGAUCAUCAUGGAACUUGAGACAAUUGGAUUUAAUCAAACAAAGGUAAACAGCUUUCUCCCAUCUAAUGAUGUUAUGAAACAUGGUUUACACUACACCAAAUACUGCAAUAACUGCCCUAUUCAGAUUUAUCUUCUUGUUCUUUGGGAUCUUCCAUAACUAGUCUCAUUUUUAAAAUUCAUGGCAGUUGCUGCAGCAUAACAUUGAUAUCAACGCUAUGAUAAGAACAAUGGAAGCGGAAACCAGAAGCCUAAUCCAGAAAAAUAAAGCUUCCGAUGCCAAGAAACUGAAUGACAUAAAAAGAGACAUGGCCCAUCUAGAAUGGUAUAAGAAGAAAUCGGAAAUGGGUUACUACGAUUGCUUCAAAAAUCAGGGGUCUAAAAGGGACAUCAACGUUGAACAAUUUAGGGGAAACCUCACAAUGUACUGGGAAGACAUGGUUGCACAAGUACAGAGGAAGCCCCAGAAGGAAGGAGCAACAUUUCGAACCCGUUGGUUCUAUGCAGGGACAGUUUAUAGGAGAAUGGUUGAACCACUGGACAUUGCUGCCUUCUACAGAGAGGGUGGAACAGACUACAUAAACAAUGGAAGAUCUCUUCAUUACAAGCUGUUGCAGCAAUGGUAUGAAGAAGAUGUGAAACCCCCCUCUAGAGAUAAGCUUGAUUCCAAGAAGCAAAAGGUGUCUGGUAUCCUAACUGAGGAUUCUUUGUUUUGGGCACAUGUGGAGGAGGCCAUCUUGUCAUGCGAAUUGCUCAAGAGUCAAAACUGUACUCUUGAGCAGGGAAAAUCAUCAUGGGAUAAUCUGGUUAAGUUCGAGGAGUAUGUAAUGGAACAUAUUAACAACUAUGCAGCGUCCCCUGAGAUUUUCUCGAGGGAAAGCAGCUUCAUGAAAUGGUGGGGACUGUAUGAGGGCUACAUAGAUACUUGCAGUAAUUCCCAUGGGUCGCCAUUGAUCAACUUCAUGAAGAAACGUAGCUAUAUGAAGUAUGGUUAGAGGGGCAAUCCAGUUUGUGUGUUGUGUUUGUUGUUUUGUGAGCGUUCAAUGGAUAAAACUAGAAAGAGUGACCUUUUUCCCUUUUUCUUGGUUGCUGCCCAUAUUCUCAGCACUAUUUUCUUCCUUCUUUUCCUCUGUUUUUUUGUUAAGAAAUGAAUAUUAUGAUGUUGCUGGGAUGCACUUUCAUUGUUGUUCUAUUACAUUGUGUUUUAUUUAUAUCCUAAACAAAUAAAUCAAAACAAGAAAAUCAAAUAAGACUUAAAGAGUCUUUUCCUUCAAAAAAAAAAAUGGGGAAAAAGAAAAACAUUUUUGUUUAGAUUCAACUCCACCAAAACUUGCAACAACUUCCCAUUGAAAAAUUCCUUUUAAGCUUCUGAAUGAUAUAAAACCAGAUAUGUUCCAGCUAGAAUGGUACAAGAAAGAAAUCAAAAGAUGAGUACAGUGGGUUAUUAUGACAGCUUUAGAAACCUGGGGUGUAAAAGAGACAUUAAAAUGGAACCGAUGGGAAGACAUGGUAGAACACGUAGAGAGGAAGCCUCACCAGGAAGGGGCAGCUUUGCAAACCCUCUGGCUCUGUACAGGAACGAAUUAUAGAAAGAUGGUUGAACCACUUGACAUUGUUCCCUACCACAGAGAGGGUGGAAGACACUACAUAACAUUACACGCUAUUGGAGCAAUGAUGCAAUGAAGAGGAGAAGGGGGCUUUGUCUUCUCAUGCAAAUUGCUCUCAGAGCUCAGAACCUACUCCUGAAGGGAAAGAAUCAUCAUUGAGUGAUCUGGUUAAGUUUGAGGAUUUAUUUAUAUAAUUGAACUGAUUGGAAGCUAUGCAGUGUCGGCCCCCGCCCGAGCAGCUUCAUGAAACGGUGGAAAGAGUUGGAAGAAGUCAUAGAUACUUGCUAUAGGAGCUUCAUGAAGUAUGGAGAGGUGUGGCAUAGAUACUUGCAGUCUCUGAAUUUCCCAAAUCCAAUUUCAGAUUGUGUAUUUAGAUUCGUGGAACUUGUUUUCUUGCUUUUUGUUAGGUACAAUUGAGAUGGGCUGAACCGAAAGGCCCGCCAGGAUGAACAAUAUAAUGGGCCUGAAUUUUAAACCAGCGGAUGGGCUUUGUACUGGAUUCAGCUGUCUGAGCCCAAUGAGUAUUGAAUGUAUUUCUGUAUAAAAUUAAAUUUUUAACAUUGAAAUAUAAGGACUUACUUAAAAACACAUUUGGUAACUUUUUUUUUUUUAUGGUUAAUAAUAGAUUUAAAAAAAAAUUAAAAAUAUAUAAUUUUUUAGGAUAAAUUUGAGGCAUGUUUAGGUAUUUUUCGUGGUAAAGAGUUUUGAGAAGCAAUGGGAAAUAUACAGAAUACUUUAAAAACUUUUGCAUAAGUAAGAUACUUACACGAGGCUUUCAUGAAAAAUAAAUUGAUAAAAACAAUUCUCAUAUUUAAAUUUCGAAACAUAAAACAACUCAGAACUGUUUUUAAAAAUUGUUCUUAAAAAUAGUUUUCUAUUAAGUCACAUUCAAGGAUGCUUUUAUCUUUUAUUUUUCUAUGUUUCAUCCUUGCAUAAAUGGAGUACAAAGACAUAAGUUAAUCUAAUUAACAAAUAUAGAUAAUCAUCCGAUAAAAGAGUAAAUUAGGUGAUGAUCUCUUUAUAUAUGCAAGUAAUGGAAUGAAUGUGAUGAAAAAUAAAAUAAAAAAGUAAGGGGAGAAAUGUUGUAAAUAAAGUGUUUUUAUUGUAGUUCAACGACCUAUCCACUUCCGCACCUUGACAUAUUUCACAAUUUUAAAAGUUUUCUUAAUCAUGAUUCUCUUUAUUAUUCUUUAAGUCCGGAUUUCUUAUGUUUCAAUAGACUUUUACAAUCACUAAGAUAGUGUUUGUUUUUUCACUUAAUUCUAAAUAUAACUUAAAACUAAAUAAUAUUUAAUAAUAUCAGGAUUAGGUUGUUUUUUUUAUAACAUUUUAUUUCUAUAUAAUAUUAAAAAGUAAAGAAAAAUCAAUAUAUUAUUUUUUUCAUUUAAAAAAAGUCAAAUAUUUUGACUUUUUUUUAAGCUAAAAAUUUAUAAUAAAAAAUAAAAAACAAACAAACAAACAAACAACUUAAAGUGUAAAAAUAGAUUGUUUUCAAUAAAAAUUUAAAAAAAAACAAACACCUUCUAAAUAAAAUUCCUUAACCACUCGUUCAAUAGCUCCUUUAAGCACAAAAUGUAUUGAAGUGCUCACAAUGAAAAGAUAAACAAGUUUUGAUUCAAUAUAAUUUUGGGUUAUCUAAUUAAAAGGGUCAUUGAAAACCCAAUUUUAGAAAUAUAACCCUUCAUCAUUUUUUUAUCUCGUGUUAACAAAAAUGCUCUUAUUAUUUUCUUAUAAAAAUAAUCAUUUCUUUUAAAACACACUAUAAAUACUCCAAAUAGCCAAGGGCUUUUAUGUAAAAAAAAAUGAAUUACUCUUCAAAUAAAAAUAUUGGAGGGAAUAAAUUCACAAAUAUGAGGUAUUUCAUCCCUUUUAAAUAAUUAUUUCUAUAAUUUUAAGAGUUUAAGAAGGCUAGACAAAGACUAAUUAUUAGGCACAUUUUGUAAAAACACUAGUUAUUAGACACAUUUUUUGCUCAAUCAAGCAAUCACACAGUUGACUAAACACUAAUUAUUGGACUUUUUUUUUUUAUAAUAAGUGGAAGACAAGAAUACAAUCGACUACUUUGGUCAAUUAAGCAAUCAUUCAGUUGACUAUAAACUAGUCUUUAGACAUUUUUUUUUAUAAUAAUUGGAAGACAUGAAUACAAUCGAUUACUUUGGUCAAUUAAUCAAUUAUUCAAGAAAUUUAGAAAAAUAUUGGAUAAAAGAUAUAUAUAACGGAUUAUUUCAAAUUGAAACUUAAGAUCAUAAAUCUUACUUUUAAUGUUGAAAAAUCAUGUAAAACACAAGUUUUUAUCUUUGAAGUAAUCAAUUUCAUUUUUCACAAAAAAUCAUUAAUAAUACAUGAAUGAAUUCUUUUAAAAAAAUCUUAUAAAAAAUGUGAUUAUUUUUCAUUCCCAAAUAUUUAGGUUCUAAAGGUCAAUUUUAAAGCAUACUUAUCCUUACUAUGCCUUACAAGAAAAUCUAUUCUAUACAUAUGAUCUUGUAAAAAACUGUAAAUAAAAAAGAAAAAAAGAAAAAAAACCUCUCUUGUUUUCCUCUUUUGAUUGGAUAUCAUUAUCAUACUUAAAAUUAAAUAUUUAAUCAAAAUAUUAUUUUACUAUCAUCAAAAUUUAGAUUUAACCAAACUUUAGGCUAGUAUGUUGAUACGACAAGUUAAUUUUCUAUCUUAAAGUUUUAAAAACUUUUGAAAUUAAACAUUUUCUUACACAUUUAUUUUUAAAGUUUUUAGCAUAAAAUUUAAAAUUGAAGCUUUUAAAGGAAAACCUCAUAAUAUAAUAUACUAGAAAGACAUGGUCAAACAAAUAGAGACGAAGCCUCAAAAGGAAGGGGCAAUGGUUGAACCACUUGACAUUGUUGCCUACUACUAAGAUGGUGUAAGAAACAACAUAACCAAUGGAACAUAUGCACAUUAAACAUUGUACAAUUAUUAUAAAUGUCUUAUACAUUAUGUGUGAAAAUACCAAAAAAAAAGAAAAAUUAUAUUCAACAUUUACAUUUGUAUACAAACAAUGUUUUCGACAAUUUGAUAUAAAAAACAAAUAAAAAAAAUAAAGAAAAACAUACAAAUAUAUUUACAAUGGACAAACUUAUUCAAUUAGUAUAAAUAUCUUGUAUAUUUAAUACAAAUACCUUAUACUUUGUGAAAAUGUAAAAAUAUAGUAUUUAAUAUUUAUACAUGUGGGUAAGUAAUUUUUCUAAUGGUUUGAUUUAAAAAACAAAUAAUGAGAAUCAAGAAAAACAUGCAAAUAAAUUAGUGUGAAUGAUAAAGGGUGUUUUUUACCAUAAAUUUUCAUGGACUUAGCAUCAAUUAUGCAUCUAUAGAUGUUAACCCAAUUAGCAUAAUGUGAAAACCCUUGCACACAAUAUAUAAACCCUAUACUUGAAUUAGGAAGGACAAAAAAAAAAUAGUUAGAGCAAUUGGUACCAUCAAUGAUGACUUCACCUAAAGAAAGGUUAAUGAACAUUAUGUUCUCAACGGAGAGCAACUCUGGUAGAACAUAUGGAGUAAAUCAAUGCCCUUCUUUUAACGAUGAAGUAGCUAAGUCAUGAAAACAAGGUUUUGCUAACAACAUUAAAGGCAAGAAUUCCCCCAAUAUACUCCAAUUCAUAUUCAAUUCACAGACCUUCAACUAACUACUCUCAGUAACGAGCAAACCCAAGUCAAUACAUAAGAUUGAUUAUUACUUAUGAUAAUUGAAACCCUAAUUAAAUAAAUAAGGACACAAAUAUAUAUAUAUAUAUAUAGGGACAGUUGUGUUUUGGACCUAGGUGAACCCAAAAAUUAAGGUUUGGUUUAUAUAACUUACAUAAUUGAUGAAAAUGAUAUAAGAUAUCAAAAUAUCAAAAUACUCAUUGACCUUUCACAUAAGCUUUUUUGGUAUUUAUUGCACUACUAUUCAUUCAACCAUAAUAAUUCUAUUUUAACUAUUUGGAUUUUUCAUUGUUUUUUAAAACUUUUUAUUUAUAAAUAAUUGAAAAUCAACAUUAUUUUCUAUUUUAAAUUAUAAAUAAAGAAAAAUUACGUUCGAAAACUAUUUUAAAAAAUACUUUCUAAAAAAAAUGGUAAUAUGAUUUAUAUUUUUUAUAUUUUCUUUUAGAAAAAAAUAUUUAAUUAAAAAAUGAAAAAUAUUUUUAAAAAUAAAAAUUGGAAACCUUGUUUAGUACUAUUUUUUUUAUAUAAAAAUAAUAAAAAUAAUUAAAUUUCAUUUAUUGAUUAUCCAUUAAAUUUUAUAUGAAAAUUUUGUAUAAGAGUAAAAAGAUUCAAUAUCUUUAAAAAAAGAAAAAAAAAACAAAACAAAAAGUUAGAAAUGAGUAAUACUUAAUUGGGAAUAGAAAAUGGGAAAAAUUUUGAAAUUUACACUCACUAUAUGUCUACGUAGGGAUUAAGGGUAUUUUAGGGAUUAAUGAAGGAUAAUAUCUUUUAACUUAAUUUUUACAUUUUAUUUGGGUCUUGGGAUUAAAUGUACAUUAUAUAUGGAUCUUUGGUUAAUUUUUGGACCCAUCCGGACCCAAAACACAAUUCUCCAUAAAAAAAUAUUUAUUAAAAUAAAUAAAUUAAUAAAAACCAUUUAGAGAGUUUCAUAACUUAGGUGGUGUUUGUUUUUUUGGCUUUUUGGUGAAAACCAUUUAGUUUUAGAAUUUAGGUUGUUUGUUUUUUUACUUUUUCAUGACUUAUUAUAAACUUUUUACAAAAUAGAAAAAGCCAAAAUAUAUGACUUUUUCUAAAUAGAAAAAUAACACAAUGGUUUUUUUUACUUUUUAAUACUUAAUAGAAAUAAAAUAUUAUAAAAACAAACAACCUAAUAUUUAAUACUAUUAAGUAUUAAAGUUCUAUUUAGAAUUAAGUAAAAAAACAAACACCACCUAAGUGUCGAAGCUAUUGUAAGAAAAAAGUAUUAUAUAAUGUAGGGUUUAGGUUCAAAGUCUACCUAAGAUUAAAUUUAAGUCUUAAGACAAAUUCACAUUCAAAACUAGGUUUUUAAGUUAGAAAAAUAGACCCCUUAAACCAAUUAAAUGGUAAAAAAAAAUUACAAAGAAAAUUUCUCUAGCUGGUUUCUUCAUCUUGAAAACUAACGGAAACAUAUAUCAAUAUUUGGUAUGAAAAUUCGUAACCUUAGAAACACAGCUUUGAGUCUUGCUGAGAAAAACAAAGCUUAUUUGCUCGUAGACCAUCGUAGUGGUCGUCAUACCGUGUGAGGACCGGGGAAGCAUCUUUGCUCGUAGACCGGCUUUUGUAGUCUUUCUUUAACAAUUGCAAGUUGUCAGGAUUCCCUUCAUCCUCCUAUAUAAUAUUGUUUUUGGUCUUGUUCUGGUUGUAUCUCCGUGGAAGGAAGGAAGAUGAAUCAAGUUCCUUUGUAUGUAUCAAUGUCUCUGAUUCAUUUUUUGGUUCCUAGAAUCGAAUCCUCGCUCUGUUCUUGCUUAAUUUCUCCUUUUUCUGUUGGGUCUUUCACUGCAGGUUUAGCUCUGCACGGGAACUGGCAAAUUUGGUGCUGGCCUCCAAUCUAAUCGACUGUGCUUUCACCAAAAUUCUUGAACUUAAGAGAGGCCAAACAGCCUUGCCUGUUCAAUACAGACUUUAUCAACUGUCUUCCAAGUGCACAAUUGUAGCUUUUGUCUCUUCACCUGACUGCACUCAAUACCCUCUUCCUGGACAAGGAGAUUUAGAUCGGUCUCCUCUCUUUGACUUCCUCCGUACCGAAGAAUACCCGUCCGUCUCCAUUAACAGAGCAGCAUUAGACCUCUUUACCCCUCUCCAUGAUCAUCUCUCUGGACUAACAGAUGAGGUCAAAAUCUGAUACUUGUUUGAAUUUUCGUUUCCUUUUCGUUAACAAUUGUGAGACACGAAACAGCUUGACCAUGAGAUCUCCCUCAUGGAGUCGAACUACCUGAAGGAUAAGACGUCACACAUAUCCAUUUUCAUGGCAUCGUCACAUGACCCAUUGAUCGGUUGUGAUUCAACUCUUAAUAGGAAUACAGUAGAACCGGUGUUGGUAUCUGUCUUUAGAUCAGCUUGCAUAUAUCUUGUCACUGAAAAAGGAAUGUUCAGAAGUGAGAUUAGUGGCAUUAUUCUGACAUGGAUUUCAUAUGGUUACUUGUUUUGCAGUUGACUCGGAUUGAAGGUCAAUUAAUCAUCACUGGGCACUCCCUGGGAGGAUCCGUUGCUUCUCUCUUCACCUUACGCCUGCUAGACGGCAAUUUAUUAAAGCCCAAAUGCCAUCCCUUUUGUAUCACCUUUGGUUCACCCCUCAUAGGCGACUUUGGCCUCCAAGACUCCAAAUGGAAUUCUUUCUUCCUGCAUGUAGUGUCUAACCAAGACCCAGUCCCCGGACUCUUCCUCCCAUCCGGCAGAUCUCCGCCCACAUCCUCCCAUUCACAAACUACCGGUUACAAGCCCUUUGGGACAUAUCUCUUGUGCUCUGAACUUGGUUGUGCUUGUUUUGACAACCCUGAUUUAAUUUUGAGAUUGCUGAAAGUCAUAUCAUCAGAGGUUGCCGGAGGAUUGCAGGAUGUUGAUUAUGGGGAGAUUUUAAGAAACCUCAAGGAGAGGGCAAUCUGCAAGGGACUGCCGCAGGUGGGUGAACGGUUUGCAGAUCCAUUUUCAGCUGGGAUCAUCAUGGAACUUGAGACAAUUGGAUUUAAUCAAACAAAGGUAAACAGCUUUCUCCCAUCUAAUGAUGUUAUGAAACAUGGUUUACACUUCACCAUAUACUGCAAUAACUGCCCUAUUCAGAUUUAUCUUCUUGUUCUUUGGGAUCUUCCAUAACUCGUCUCAUUUUUAAAAUUCAUGCCAGCUGCUGCAGCAUAACAUUGAUAUCGACGCUAUGAUAAGAACAAUGGAAGAGGAAACCAGAAGCCUAAUCCAGAAAAAUAAAGCUUCCGAUGCCAAGAAACUGAAUGACAUAAAAAGAGACAUGGCCCAUCUAGAAUGGUAUAAGAAGAAAUCGGAAAUGGGUUACUACGAUUGCUUCAAAAACCAGGGGUCUAAAAGGGACAUCCACGUUGAACAGUUUAGGGUAAACCUCACAAAAUACUGGAAAGACAUGGUUGCACAAGUACAGAGGAAGCCCCAGAAGGAAGGAGCAACAUUUCGAACCCGUUGGCUCUAUGCAGGGACAGUUUAUAGGAGAAUGGUUGAACCACUGGACAUUGCUGCCUUCUACGGAGAGGGUAAAACAGACUACAUAAACAAGAAAAGAUCUCUUCAUUACCAGCUGUUGCAGCAAUGGUAUGAGGAAGAUGUGAAACCCCCCUCUAGAGAUAAGCUUGAUUCCAAGAAGCAAAAGGUGUCUGGUAUCCUAACUGAGGAUUCUUUGUUUUGGGCAUAUGUGGAGGAGGCCAUCUUGUCAUGCGAAUUGCUCAAGAGUCAAAACUGUACUCUUGAGCAGGGAAAAUCAUCAUGGGAUAAUCUGGUUAAGUUCGAGGAGUAUGUAAUGGAACAGAUUAACAACUAUGCAGCGUCCCCUGAGAUUUUCUCGAGGGAAAGCAGCUUCAUGAAAUGGUGGGGACUGUAUGAGGGCUACAUAGAUACUUGCAGUAAUUCCCAUGGGUCGCCAUUGAUCAACUUCAUGAAGGAUCGUAGGUAUAUACAGUAUGGACGUUAGAGGGGCAAUCCAGUUUGUGUGUUGUGUUUGUUGUUUUGUGAGCGUUCAAUGGAUAAAACUAGAAAGAGUGUGACCUUUUUCCCUUUUUCUUGGUUGCUGCCCAUAUUCUCAGCACUAUUUUCUUCCUUCUUUUCCUCAGUUUUUUUUGUUAAGAAAUGAAUAUUAUGAUGUUGCUGGGAUGCACUUUCAUUGUUGUUCUAUUAAAUUGUGUUUUAUUUAUAUCCUAAACAAAUAAAUGUAAACAAGAAAAUCAAAUAAGACUUCAAAGAGUCUUUUCCUUCAAAAAAAAAAAAAAUGGGGAAAAAGAAAAACAUUUUUGUUUAGAUUCAACUCCACCAAAACUUGCAACAACUUCCCAUUGAAAAAUUCCUUUUAAGCUCUGAAUGACAUAAAACUAGAUAUGUUCCAGCUAGAAUGGUACAAGAAAGAAAUCAACAGAUGAGAACAAUGGGUUAUUAUGACAGCUUCAGAAACCUGGGGUGUAAAAGAGACAUUAAAAUGGAACCGAUGGGAAGACAUGGUAAAACACGUAGAGAGGAAGCCUCACCAGGAAGGGGCAGCUUUGCAAACCCUCUGGCUCUGUACAGGAACGAAUUAUAGAAAGAUUGUUGAACCACUUGACAUUGCUGCCUACCACAGAGAGGGUGGAAGACACUACAUAACCAAUGGAGGAUCUAAACAUUACACGCUAUUGGAGCAAUGAUGCAAUGAAGAGGAGAAGGGGGCUUUGUCUUCUCAUGCAAAUUGCUCUCAGAGCUCAGAACCUACUCCUGAAGGGAAAGAAUCAUCAUGGAGUGAUCUGGUUAAGUUUGAGGAUUUAUUUAUAUAAUUGAACUGAUUGGAAGCUAUGCAGUGUCGGCCCCCACCCGAGCAGCUUCAUGAAACGGUGGAAAGAGUUGGAAGAAGUCAUAGAUACUUGCUAUAGGAGCUUCAUGAAGUAUGGAGAGGUAUGGCAUAGAUACUUGCAGUGUCUGAAUUUCCCAAAUCCAAUUUCAGAUUGUGUACUUAGAUUCGUGGAACUUGUUUUCUUGCUUUUUGUUAGGUACAAUUGAGAUGGGCUGAACCGCAAGGCCCGCCAGGAUGAACAAUAUAAUGGGCCUGAAUUUUAAACCAGUGGAUGGGCUUUGGACUGGAUUCAGCUGUCUGAGCCCAAUGAGUAUUGAAUGUGUUUCUGUAUAAAAUUAAAUUUUUAACAUUGAAAUAUAAGGACUUACUUAAAAACACAUUUGGUAACUUUUUUUUUUUGGUUAAUAAUAGAUUGUUUAAAAAAAAAUUAAAAAAAUAUUAUUUUUUAGAAUAAAUUUGAGGCAUGUUUAGGUAUUUUUCGUGGUAAAGAGUUUAGAAGCAAUGAGAAUAUAUAUAGAAUACUUUAAAACUUUUGCAUAAUACUUACUUACAUGAUGCUUUCAUAAAAAAUAAAUCAAUAAAAACAAUUUUCAUAGUUGAAUUUCAAAACAUAAAACAACUCAGAAUUGUUUUUAAGAAUUGUUCUUAGAAAUAGUUUUCUAUUAAGUCACAUUCAAGGAAUCGUUUUCAUAUAUGCAAGUAAUGGAAUGAAUGUGAUGAAAAAUAAAAAAUAAAAAGUAAGGGGAAAGAUAUUGUAAAUAAAGUGUUUUUAUCGUGGUUCAAUGACCUAUCCACUUCCACACCUUGAUGUAUUUCACAAUUUUAAAAGUUUUCUUAAUCAUGAUUCUCCUUAUUAUUCUUUAUGUCGAGAUUUUUUAAGUUUUAAUAGACUUUUUCAAUCACUAAGGUGGUGUUUGCUUUUUCACUUAAUUUUAAAUAUAACUUAAAACUAAAUAAUACUUAAUAGUAUCAACUAUUAAGUUGUUUGUUUCUAUAACAGUUUAUUUCUAUAUAAUAUUAAAAAGUAAAGAAAAAUCAACAUGCUAUUUUUGUCAUUUAAAAAAAGUCAAAUAUUUUGAAUUUUUUUAUUUAGCUAAAAAUUUAUAAUAAAUCCUAAAAAGAUAAAUAAUAAUAAUAAUAAAUAAAUAAAUAAAUAAAAACAAAUAAACAACUUAAAGUCUAAAAACAAAUUGUUGUCAACAAAAAAUUAAAAAAACAAGCACUUUCUAAAUAAGAUUCCUUAACCACUCGUACAAUAGCUCCUUUAAGCACAAGAUGUAAUGAAUGAAUACAACUUUGGUGAAAUAACUAAAGUGCUCACAAUGAGAAAAUAAACAAGUUUGGAUUCAAUAUAAUUUUUGGCUAUCUAAUUAAAAGGGUAAUUGAAAACCCAAUUUUGGAAAUAUAACCCUUCAUCAUUUUUUUUACCUCAUUUUAAUAAAAAUACUCUUAUUAUUUUCUUAUAAAAAUAAUCAUUUCUUUUAAAACAUACUAUAAAUACUUCAAAUAAUCAAGAGCAUUUAUGUAAAAAAUGAAUUACUCUUCAAAUAAAAAUAUUGGAGGGAAUAAAUUCACAAAUAUAUGGGGUAUUUCAUCCCUUCUAACUAAUUAUUUCUAUAAUUUAAAGAGUUUAAGAAGGCAAGACAACUAAAUAAAUGAAGUUUUCAAGUUAUUGUCUCUAUCAUAAAUAAAGUCCAAUAAUCACAUUUGUAUCGUUUUGUACAAAGACUAAUUAUUAGGCAUAUUUUGUAAAAACACUAAUUAUUAGACACAUUUUUCGCUCAAUCAAACAAUCACACAGUUGACUAGAAACUAGUUGUUGGACAUUUUUUUUUAUAAUCAUUGGAAGACAAGAAUACAAUCGACUACUUUAAUCAAUUAAGCAAUCAUACAGUCGACUAUAAACUAGUCAUUGGACAUUUUUUUUAAAAUCAUUGGAAGACAGGAAUACAAUCGAUCACUUUGGUCAAUUAAUCAAUUAUUCAAGAAAUUUAGAAAAAUAUUGGAUAAACGACAUAUAGUGGAUUAUUUCAAAUUGAAACUUAAGAUCGGAAAUCUUGCUUUUAAAUCAUGUAAAACACAAGUUUUUAUCUUUGAAGUAAUCAAUCUCAUUUUUAACAAAAAAAAUCAUUAAUAAUAUAUGAAUGAAUUCUUUUAAAAAAUGUGAUUAUUUUUCAUUCCCAAAUACUUAUGUUCUAAAGGUCAAUUUUAAAGCAUACUUGUCCCUACUAUGCCUUAUAAGAGAAUAUAUUCUAUACAUGUGAUAUUGUAAAAAAGUUUAAAAAAUAAAUAAAUAAAUAAAUAAAACCUCUUUUGUUUUCCUCUUUUGACUAUAUAUCAUCAUUAUCAUACUUAAAAUUAAAUAUUCAAUCAAAAUAUUAUUUUAUUAUCAUCAAAAUUUAAAUUUAACCAAACUUUAGGCUAGUACGUUGAUAUGACAAGUUAAUUUUCUAUCUUAAAGUUUUAAAAACUUUGAAAUUAAACAUUUUCUUACACAUUUAUUUUUAAAGUUUUUAGCAUAAAAUUUAAAAUAAAAAAAUACAUUAUUUUCAAAUUCAUUUUGAAAAUUUUUAUUUUAAAAAUAAAAAAUUUAAUAAAAAAAAAUGCAGGCCAGUUUUUUUUCCCUCUUUUUACCCUACAGUUUAAUUAAUUUGAGGUUAGAGGAAAGCUAUGAAAGAAAGAAAAUAAAAAUAAAAAAGAAAAUGAAAGAAUGAAAAAUAUAGCAAAAAAAUUUAAAAGAAAAAAUCUACAAGCUAAUAUUUUUUUCUUAUUUGAGAUGAUAUUUUAUAUUUAGCUUUACUACAAGCUAAAGUCACCAAAACCAUGAUCACAAAAGGGUAAUAUUGAUAUAAUGAAAGAUUAUGAAAAAAAAAAAGUUCUAUAACAAGCAAUAUUUGCUUGACUUUCAUUUAAAAAAAUUUAAAAUCAAAAUACUUUUAGUAAAAUUAUCUAAACAUGUCAAACCUAAACGAAGUGAGUGUUUCAUAUUAAGUUAUUUUUUAAGCCAAAAAACUUAUUUUAAUAGAAUUAAUCACAUAGAUAAAAAGUUGCUAUCGUGGUGGGAAAAAGGUUUUCUUUCAUUUAUUAAAUGCUAAUAAAUUUUGAAUUAUUGAAUUCAUAAAUCUUUUAAUAAAGGUCUCAUUACGUUACAUCUAAGGUUUUAUUGUGUUGGCAUCUUAUGUCUGGUGUUAUUAUUUAUUUUAUAUCCAUUUUAUUGUUUUAUAGUUUAAUCUCAUUUGAUUGUACUAUCAUUAAAUAAUCUAAAUUUGAUUACUAUGAGAUUUUAAAGUUAGAUAUGAUGUCAAUCAUGGUAUAGAUUUUGAAAGAUAUUAUCAAAUCAAAUAUUUAGGGUAUUUGAUAAAUCAAUUUAAUAACUUAAAAUGAUUUAAUAAUUUAUUUAUAUUAAUUUAAAGUUUUCAAAUAAAUUUUUUUAUAAAUAUAAUUUUAGAUUUAAGUAAAGAUAAGUUAAUUUUAAAUUUUAAAUUAAAAUAAUUAACUCAUUCUUAGUUAAAUCUAAAACUAUAUUUAAAAUAAAUAAAAACAGAGAUGGAUAUAAAUUAAGUCAAUAACUCACUUUAAAUCAUUGACUUGAUUUACCAAACACUUCAAAAUCUCACAUUUACAAGACCUGAAGUGGAUCCUUUUCAAUGAAUAUUGUCAUAUUUGUUGGAGUGUACCCAAAAUCCAAAUAUUUCAGUCUUUUUUCUCUUUAUUUCAUUUUAAAAUAAAAUAAUAAUCAUUAUACCAUGAACUUUCAAAAGUACCAUCAUUAUGUCAGUGGAGAUGGGAAGCUGAAAGCCUGAAACAAAUCAAUGGUGAAAGACACCAGUUUUCCAACAACAAAAAAGGCCAAAUCUGAUUCCAACUCAUCCAGUCUAUCUGUGCACUUUGACAACUGAAACACUUUAUUCCAAUUCACAUUUCACUAGAAAUUCCAUUCCAUAUCUACUCAAUAUUCACUGAAAAGGGUUUACAAUGAAAUAACAACUNNNNNNNNNNNNNNNNNNNNNNNNNNNNNNNNNNNNNNNNNNNNNNNNNNNNNNNNNNNNNNNNNNNNNNNNNNNNNNNNNNNNNNNNNNNNNNNNNNNNGAAAUUCAAAGAGCAACACUACUAACAUCUCAGAAUCCUCUGUGCAAUCACUACCAAAACUUUUCCUUACACAUGAAUGAAGAAAUGAGGCUGUACAUAUAUAAUCUGCGGAUGACAACAUGCAAGAAUGCAAAUGGGGGAAAUGGGGAAACAAAUAUUCUAGACAGGGUCUUAUUGGAAAGAAUCUAGGAUUGGGGCUUGAAGAAAAAUGGAAGAAUGGCAUCAUAAGACUGCAGUCUGAGUGGGAGAAGAAUUCAGGCGGGAGAGACAGGUUGAAGAUGAGUUCAGUAAUGAGCUCUCAAGGCUUGGGCAUGGUUCAGGGAACACCCAUUGGGAGAACCCAGAGACAUUUGAGCAAACCCAAGAGAUGGAGGCAGGAGGAGUAGUUGAUAGGGAGAUGUUGGAUAGACAAAUGGAAGUGAACGGGGAUUCUUGAAUACCAGUGAAGCUUCCAGCAAUGGUUAUGUUUGUGCCGAUCACAUUCUGCAAGGUGAUGUGAUCCAAGACAGGGAGUGCAUUGGGGUCAAAAUGGUCAUCUGGGUGGGAGCCGAUUUGGCCUGUUGCACUGAAGGCUGUGUGGAUGUUUUCCAUUGCGACAUCUGAUAUGAUGAUUUCUUGGAUAUAACCACCUCUUCCCUUGGUAGUUCUGAACUCGAUGCCACUGAAUGAGUUGUAUAGGUGGACCUGCUCCACACAGACGUUAGAAAUGCCACCAGACAUCUCACUACCGAAGGCCAGGGAAGAGCCAGAUGAUGAUUGAAGGUUGACCCGUCUGAUGUGUACAUUUGUGGUGGGUCUACCAUAGGCAAUGCCAUAUUCAUCCCAGCCACUCUUGAGUGCAAUGGCAUCAUGGCCCAUGGCAAUGCUGCAAUCCUCUAUGCAGGUGCUAUCUGAAGAAUCUGAAAUCAAAACAUUAUACAAAGUUGACUUAGCAAAAUUCUUUUCAUGACUGAACCCUUCCUGAACAUAGAAAAAAGUAAAAUUAUAAUCUACAUGAACCACUAAACAAACCACAGGUAACAACCUGUUUCCUCUUUCAACAAAUAUCCCUAUCAAUAUACUUAAACAUUCAUAUAUACAUUAAAAACUAAUAUAGAUUUUCAGAAAUAUCUUACCAAUCGGAAGAGGGUUCAAACAAUAAACAAAGACAAAACAAUUCUAGCACUGAUAAUUAAAGAUCCAAAAGUUUAUCAAAUUUAGUAAAAAGAAACAGACCAAAACCUACAAAAUUAUUGUUAAACAAGUGAAAAACAAAACAUUAAAUUAUCUAUUAUCACUCUUGGAGACUGACGGUAUGAAAAUAAGUUCAAAUGCCUCAGAUUCCUUCACCUCCAUUCUUAAUUCCUAGCCUCUUCAACAACCAAGUUUCAAGUACCUUAAUUCGUCCAUCUCCAGAACUGAUAGCAAAGAAGUCCAAAGAAGGGGUAAAGGUUGUUAAUAAAUCUCGGAUAUUCGAUGGGCCCAUGGUCCUGUAUCAAAAGAAUAAAUUAAAUGUCAAAGUCCUUACAAUUCAUAAUUUACAAAUUAGAAAUGAAAUUGUAGAUAUACGAGAGGUGUUCCAAGACGUUAUUAAGGGAGAUUGACUGUAACUGCCUAUUGAUAAAGAAACAAAACAACUUACCAUGACGAAAAUAAUAUAGCUCAAAAUCACAGUAGGAAGUGCCAAAAAAAGGUGGCAAUCCUCUGAAACAUAUGAUGAAGAAGAUAUAAAAAAAUAUAUAAGAAAGACACAGCAUUAAAAAUUUUAAAGCUCGCCAAUAUGUUGCCAAUCCAGUAAAUCAUUUCAUUAACUAAACUGAUUCAGCACUUAAGCUCUAAUAACCUUUGUUUGGUAGCCGAGAAAAUGGAAGAGAAGGAGGAAAAAAAUGCAAUAUCAUGCUAUCUGUUACUGAAUCAAGCCAAACAAUUCAGUUAAACUUGGCUGAACAGCAGUUUUAGCUUUCUUAGCCUGAAUAACGAAAAUUCAAGAUUUUAUCUAUUUUACUUUCCUGCAUUUUCUCAGCUUCCCGGUUUGUCUACGGACAAACUAGAGGAAAAUAAAAUAAAAAAUAAAAAGAAAACUAAAACCAGGUAUUUUCAGUUGUUCUCCAUAAAAAGCAAACGAAAAAUCAACAGAACUAAAUCCUGAGCAAUUACCGAUCCGGCUCAGGCUGAAUUUCCGGUUCUCUUAGAAAAUAUUAUAUAGCAGUUCCAAUAAGGGACCGUCGUGCAUCAUUAUACUAAUUUUCCUCCGUUUUUCGGCAACCAAACAGAGGAUAAACUUGUUUUGAGGAGAAGAUGCACGCUUACCUGUUUUGGCGACCGGCGGCGGCGAGAUGCAAAGAAAAAGAGAGAACGAGAGAGGGGUUUUACCUGUUUUGGCGACCGGCAGCGGCUAGAAGCAAAGAAAAAGAGAGAACGAGAGUGGGGUUUUAGGAACGCAGCCGCGUAGCUGCUCAUUUCGCAAGGGCCCCUUUUUUAUUUCUUUUUCUUUUUUUUCAAUUUUAGGAUUUUUCAUUUUAGCCUCCAUAUUUGAGUGUAUUUAGAUUUGUGGAACCUGUUUUGGGGCUUUUUGUUAGGUACAAUUGAGAUGGGCUGAACCGAAAAGCCCGCCAGGAUGAACAACAUUAAUGGGCCUGAAUUUUAAACCUAUGAAUGGGCUUUAUACUGGAUUCAGCUGUCUGAGCCCAAUGAGUAUUGAAUGUGUUUCUGUAUAAAAUUAAACUUUUAACAUUGAAAUAUGAGGACUUACUUAAAAACACAUUUGGUAACUUUUUUUUUUGGUUAAUAAUGGACUUUAAGAAAAAAUUAAAAAUAUAUUAUUUUUUAGAAUAAAUUUGAGGCAUGUUUAGGUAUUUUUUGUGGUAAAGAGUUUUGAGAAGCAAUAGAAAAUAUAUAGAAUACUUUAAAAACUUUUGCAUAAGAUACUUACUUACACGAGGCUUUCAUGAAAAAUAAAUCGAUAAAAACAAUUUUCAUAUUUGAAUUGCGAAACAUAAAACAACUCAAAACUGUUUUUAAGCAUUGUUCUUAAAAAUAGUUUUCUAUUAAGUCACAAUCAAGGAAGCUUUUAUCUUUUAUUUUUCUAUGUUUCAUCCUUGCAUAAAGGGAGUAUAAAGACUAAAGUUAAUCUAAUUAACAAAUUUGGAUAAUCAUCCAAUAAAUGAGUAAAUUAGGUGAUGAUCUCUUUAUAUAUGCAAGUAAUGGAAUGAAUGUGAUGAAAAAUAGAAAAAAGUAAGGGGAGAAAUGUUGUAAAUAAAGUGUUUUUAUUGUGGUUCAAUGACCAAUCCACUUCCACACCUUGACAUAUUUCACAAUUUUAAAAGUUUUCUUAAUCAUGAUUCUCCUUAUUAUUUUUUAAGUCCGGAUUUCUUAAGUUUCAAUAGACUUUUACAAUCACUAAGAUGGUGUUUAUUUUUUCACUUAAUUCUAAAUAUAAGUUAAAACUAAAUAAUAUUUAAUAAUAUCAAGUAUUAGGUUGUUUUUUUUUAUAACAUUUUAUUUUUAUAUAAUAUUAAAAAGUAAAGAAAAAUCAAUAUGUUAUUUUUUUCAUUUAAAAAAAGACAAAUAUUUUGCCUUUUUUUUAAGCUAAAAAUUUAUAAUAAAAAAAAAAAAGCAAACAAUUUAAAGUGUAAAACAGAUUGUUUUCAACAAAAAUUUAAAAAAACAAACACUUUCUAAAUAAGAUUCCUUAGCCACUUGUACAAUGGCUUCUUUAAGCACAAAAUGUAAUAAAUGAAUACAACUCUGGUGAAAUGACUAAAGUGCUCACAAUGAGAAGAUAAACAAGUUUGGAUUCAAUAUAAUUUUGGGUUAUCUAAUUAAAAUGGUCAUUGAAAACCCAAUUUUGGAAAUAUAACCCUUCGUCAUUUUUUUACCUCAUUUUAACAAAAAAAAGCUCUUAUUAUUUUCCUAUAAAAAUAAUCAUUCCUUUUAAAACACACUAUAAAUACUUCAAAUAGCCCAAGGUUUUUAUGUAAAAAAAAAUGAAUUACUCUUCAAAUAAAAAUAUUGGAGGGAAUAAAUUCACAAAUAUGGGUAUUUCAUCUCUUUUAACUAAUUAUUUCUAUAAUUUUAAGAGUUUAAGAAGGCUAGACAAAGACUAAUUAUUGGACUUUUUUUUUUAUAAUCAAUGGAAGACAGGAAUACAAUCGACUACUUUGAUCAAUUAAGCAAUUAUACAGUUGACAAUAAACUAGUCGUUAGACAUUUUUUUUUAUAAUAAUUGGAAGACAUGAAUACAAUCGAUUACUUUGGUCAAUUAAUCAAUUAUUUAAGAAAUUUAAAAAAAUAUUGGAUAAAAGAUAUAUAUAUAUAUAACGAAUUAUUUCAAAUUGAAACUUAAGAUCAGAAAUCGUGCUUUUAAUGUUGAAAAAUCAUGUAAAACACAAGUUUUUAUCUUUGAAGUAAUCAAUUCAUUUUUCACAAAAAAUCAUUAAUAAUACAUUAAUGAAUUCUUUUAAAAAAUCUUAUAAAAAAUGUGAUUAUUUUUCAUUCCCAAAUACUUAGGUUCUAAAGGUCAAUUUUAAAGCAUACUUAUCCUUACUAUGCCUUACAAGAAAAUCUAUUCUAUACAUAUGAUUUUGUAAAAAAGUGUAAAUAAAAAAAAUAAAAAAUAAAAAAUAAAAAAUAAAAAAAACCUCUCUUGUUUUCCUCUUUUGAUUGGAUAUCAUUAUUAUACUUAAAAUUAAAUAUUUAAUCAAAAUAUUAUUUUACUAUCAUCAAAAUUUAGAUUUAACCAAACUUUAGGCUAGUAUGUUGAUAUGACAAGUUAAUUUUCUAUCUUAAAGUUUUAAAAACUUUUGAAAUUAAACAUUUUCUUACACAUUUAUUUUUAAAGUUUUUAGCAUAAAAUUUAAAAUUAAAGCUUUUAAGGAAAAACCUCAUAAUACAAUAUACUAGAAAGACAUGGUCAAACAGAUAGAGAGGAAGCCUCGAAAGGAAGGGGCAAUGGUUGAACCACUUGACAUUGUUGCCUACUACUAAGAUGGUGUAAGAAACAACAUAACCAAUGGAACAUAUGCACAUUAAACAUUGUAUAAUUAUUAUAAAUGUCUUAUACAUUAUAUGUGAAAAUACGAAAAAAAAAAUAAAAUAAAAUUAUAUUCAACAUUUAUAUUUGUAUACAAACAAUAUUUUCAAUACUUUGAUAUAAAAAACAAAUUAAAAAAAUGAAGAAAAACAUAUAAAUAUAUUUACAAUGGACAAACUUAUUCAAUUAGUAUAAAUAUCUUGUAUAUUUAAUACAAAUACCUUAUACUUUGUGAAAAUGUAAAAAUAUAGUAUUUGAUAUUGAUACAUGUGGGUAAGUAAUUUUUCUAAUGGUUUGAUUUAAAAAACAAAUAAUGAGAAUCAAGAAAAACAUGCAAAUAAAUUAGUGUGAAUGAUAAAGGGUGUUUUUUACCAUAAAUUUUUAUGGACUUAGCAUCAAUUAUGCAUCUAUAGAUGUUAACCCAAUUAGCAUAAUGUGAAAACCCUUACACACAAUAUAUAAACCCUAUACUUGAAUUAGGAAGGACAAAAAAAAAAAUAGUUAGAGCAUUUGGUACCAUCAAUGAUGACUUCACCUAAAGAAAAGUUAAUGAACAUUAUGUUCUCAAUGGAAGAGCAACCCUAGUAGGACAUAUGGAGUAAAUUGAUGCUCUUCUUUCGACAACGAAGUAGCUAAGUCAUGAAAAUGGGGUUUUGCUAACAACAUUAAAUGCAAGAAUUCCCCAAUAUACUGCAAUUCAUAUUCAAUUCAUAGACUUUCAACUAACUACUCUCAAUAACGAGCAAACCCAAGUCAAUACAUAAGAUUGAUUAUUACUUAUGAUAAUUGAAACCCUAAUUAAUAAAUAAGGACACAAAUAUAUGUAUAUAUAUAUAUAUAUAUAUAUAUAUAUAUAUAAAAUAGAGACAAUUGUGUUUUGGACCCAGGUGGAUCAAAAAUUAAGGUUUGGUUCAUAAAACUUACAUAAUUGAUGGAAAUGAUAUAAGUUAUCAAAAUACCAAAAUACUCAUUGAUCUUUCACGUAAGCUUUUUUUGUCUUUAUUGCACCACUAUUCAUGCAACCAUAAUAAUUCUAUUUUAACUAUUUGGAUUUUUCAUUAUUUUUUAAAACUUUUUUUUUAUAAAUAAUUGAAAAUCAACAUUAUUUUCUAUUUUAAAUUAUAAAUAAAGAAAAAUUACGUUCAAAAACUAUUUUAAAAAAUAAUUUCUAAAAAAAUGGUAAUAUGAUUUAUAUUUUUUAUAUUUUCUUUUAGAAAAAAAUAUUUAAUUAAAAAAUGAAAAAUAUUUUUCAAAAUAAAAAUUGAAAACCUUGUUUAGUACUAUUUUUUUAUAUGAAAAUAAUAAAAAUAAUUAAUUUAUUAUCCAUUCAAUUUUAUAUGAAAAUUUUUUAUAAGAGUAAAAAGAUUCAAUAUCUUUAAUAAAAGAAAAAAAAAACAAAACAAAAAGUUAGAAAUAAGUAAUACUUAAUUAGGAAUAGAAAAAGGGAAAAAUUUUGAAAUUUACACUCACUAUAUGCCUAUGUAGGGAUUAAAGGUAUUUUAUGAAUUAAUGAAGGAUAAUAUUUUUUAACUUAAUUUUUACAAUUUAUUUGGGUCUUGGGCUUAAAUGUGAAUGAUAUAUGGAUCUUUAGUCAAUUUUUGGGCCCAUCCGGGCCCAAAACACAAUUCUCCCUAAAAAACUAUUUAUUAAAAUCAAUAAACUAAUAAAAACCAUUUAGAGAGUUUCAUAACUUAGUGUCGAAGCUAUUGUAAGAAAUAAGUAUUAUAUAAUGUAGAGUUUAGGUUUAAAGUCUACCUAAGAUUAAAUUUAAGUCUUAAGACAAAUUCACAUUCAAAACUAGGUUUUUAAGUUAGAAAAAUAGAUCUCUUAAACCAAUUAAAUGGUAAAAAAAAUUACAAAGAAAAUUUCUCUUGCUGGUUUCUUCAUCUUGAAAACUAACGGAAACAUAUAUCAAUAUUUGGUAUGAAAAUUCGUAACCUUAGAAACACAGCUUUGGGUCUUGCUGAGAAAAACAAAGCUUAUUUGCUCGUAGACCAUCCUGGUGGUCAUCAUACCGUGUGAGAACCGGGGAAGCAUCUUUUCUCGUAGACCGGCUUUUGUAGUCUUUCUUUAACAAUUACAAGUUGUCAGGAUUCCCUUCAUCCUCCUAUAUAAUAUUGUUUUUGGUCUUGUUCUGGUUGUAUCUCCGUGGAAGAAAGGAAGAUGAAUCAAGUUCCUUUGUAAGUAUCAAUGUCUCUGAUUCAUUUUUUGGUUCCUAGAAUCGAAUCCUCGCUUUGUUCUUGCUUAAUUUCUCCUUUUUCUGUUGGGUCUUUCACUGCAGGUUUAGCUCUGCACGGGAACUGGCAAAUUUGGUGCUGAGCUCCAAUCUAAUCGACUGUGCUUUGACCAAAAUUCUUGAACUUAACAGAGACCAAACAGCCUUGCCUGUUCAAUACAGACUUUUUCAACUGUCUUCCAAGUGCACAAUUGUAGCUUUUGUCUCUUCACCUGACUGCACUCAAUACCCUCUUCCUGGACAAGGAGAUUUAGAUCGGUCUCCUCUCUUUGACUUCCUCCGUACCGAAGAAUACCCGUCCGUCUCCAUUAACAGAGCAGCAUUAACCCUCUAUACCCCUCUCCAUGAUCAUCUCUCUGGACUAACAGAUGAGGUCAAAAUCUGAUACUUGUUUGAAUUUUCGUUUCCUUUUCGUUAACAAUUGUGAGACACGAAACAGCUUGACCAUGAGAUCUCCCUCAUGGAGUCGAACUACCUGAAGGAUAAGACGUCACACAUAUCCAUUUUCAUGGCAUCGUCACAUGACCCAUUGAUCGGUUGUGAUUCAACUCUUAACAGGAAUACAGUAGAACUGGUGUUGGUAUCUGUCUUUAGAUAAGCUUGCAUAUAUCUUGUCACUGAAAAAGGAAUGUUCAGAAGUGAGAUUAGUGGCAUUAUUCUGACAUGGAUUUCAUAUGGUUACUUGUUUUGCAGUUGACUCAGAUUGAAGGUCAGUUAAUCAUCACUGGGUACUCCCUGGGAGGAUCCGUUGCUUCUCUCUUCACCUUACGCCUGCUAGAUGGCAAUUUAUUAAAGCCCAAAUGCCGCCCCUUUUGUAUCACCUUUGGUUCACCCCUCAUAGGCGACUUUGGCCUCCAACACUCCAUAUGGAAUUCUUUCUUCCUGCAUGUAGUGUCUAACCAAGACCCAGUCCCCGGACUCUUCCUCCCAUCCGGCAGAUCUCCGCCCACAUCCUCCCAUUCACAAACUA